AAAUGAAAGCAGAAGCAACCCGCUUCUCGCCUUAGUGAUUCUAAUCACUGGGCUUGAUAUCGAAUUCGAUUAACAAUUGUGUUAAUCGCUAUAUCAGAGCGGGCGCUUGCGUCCGCUCUUUCUGCUUUUU
rfam:Lactobacillus senioris DSM 24302 = JCM 17472 strain DSM 24302 NODE_26, whole genome shotgun sequence.